GGGUCAGAGAGUCACAAAAUCCUGAGCAGGUAGAGGAGAACUUGGGGAAACUUCUUAAAAUCUGCCCCAGGAGAGAGACAGCAAGAACAGAGCAGUAGUCACUGAGAGCUCCUGGACAUCUCCUGCCAAUGUUGCCAAGAGCAGGCUCUGAAAAUGCCACUGCCAGGGGGGUCUCUCUGAGCCUCACCCCAAAAAAUCCUCCACAACACAAAGAGAAAGCUGGAAAAGGAAACUGCUGUGAUUUCUUCACUUCUAAGCAAGGCACAGGUGCAUAAAGUUGUUAUUUACUGGGAAUAAAAGCUCGCCCCUGACUAAUUCUUGAGGAGGUGAGAGGGACCAUGGGCAGAAGUGGCUCACAGGGAAAAUCUCGUGGGAGUAAAUGUAAAGGACAAGACCAAUGUGUCACCAUUAUCAUAUAACUGCCAUGAAGUGGAACCAUCCAAAUUACUUCAGGCAAAACCUGGAGAUGUGACAUCAGCUUUGUCACCUGCUUAAUCUGAGACAGAGCAGGUGGAGGUGAGACCAAGGUCAUCAUUUAUCUUAACAAGGGAACUCUGAGCUGAGCUGCACAAACACAUAACCCCCUCUCUGCCUCUCUGGCAGCUCUUGAGAGGCAGCUCUGCCAGCACUGAAGCUCAUGUGUCAGUGGAGGAACACUGUUAUCUUCUUAUCAGGAGAUGACAACCACAAAUACCUCGGCCUGAAAGACUGCUCUGCUAUCACCAGGGGCACAACUUCCACAGGGACUUUUCAGUGUCAACAGACUUUGGACUGUGAUGUCUUUGAGAGAGACAAUUGUCUUUUUGCUGUGUUUGUGUAUCUCCAGUGGUCCCAGCCAGCCCAGGGUCCUGCUGGAGUCACACAGGAGGUGUUCUUUGGAGGAUCGUGGAAAGUCAAGGAGGUAUUCCCCAUUUUGGUCUCUCUGGUGAUUUUUAGCAAACAGCUGCAGCAUGAGCCUGGUGAAACCAUCCCAGGGAAGGUAGAACAGGCUGCAGAGCAUCCAGAUCAGAUAUAUGUGCAGCUGGAUCUGCCUCGUAGAGUGGUGACAACAAGCAGUAAAAUAUGAACACCAUCGCAGUAAUAAUAUCAUUAUAAAAUGCAUUCAUCUCCAGGGCUGUCACUGCACUGGAGGGCCUGGCUCCAGCAGAUUCCAGCCCAGCCUGGCUCCAGGGGCAGGGAUCCUCUGAUCUCCAGGAGCUGGCUGCACAGGGGUCUUGGUGACUCAUGAUGGACCAUGAGACAAAAGGCACCUGUUCUGUGUGAGCUGUAUGUAAAAUAAAUGAAGCA